GACGGACGCUGGCGGCGUGCCUAACACAUGCAAGUAGAACGCACCGUUCAUACCGUAGCUUGCUCCACCAUAGACUGUGAGUUGCGCACGGGUUAGUAACGCGUAGGUAACCUGCCUGGUAGCGUGAGAUAACUUUUUGAAACGAUAGCUAAUACCGCAUAAUAUUAAUUAUUGCAUGGUAAUUAAUUGAAAGGUGCAAUUGCACCACUACCCGAUGGACCUGCGUUGUAUUAGCUAGUAGGUGAGGUAACGGCUCACCUAUGCGACGAUACAUAGACGACCUGAGAGGGUGAGCGGCCACGCUGGGACGGGAGCACGACCCGGACCCCUACGGGAGGGAGAAGGAGGGGAUCCUCGGCAAUGGACGAAAGGCUGACUGAGCAACGCCGCGCGAGUGACUGAGCUAGUCGUGUCGUGUAGGUCUGUAGGAAGAGAGGAUCGUGAGGGAGAUUGGAAAGGGCAGACUGUGACGGUACCGUACCAAUAAGGGACGGCUAACUACGUG
rnacentral:rRNA from 1 species